GAUGAACGCUGGCGGCGUGCCUAAUACAUGCAAGUCGAGCGAACAGACGAGGAGCUUGCUCCUCUGACGUUAGCGGCGGACGGGUGAGUAACACGUGGAUAACCUACCUAUAAGACUGGGAUAACUUCGGGAAACCGGAGCUAAUACCGGAUAAUAUAUUGAACCGCAUGGUUCAAUAGUGAAAGACGGUUUUGCUGUCACUUAUAGAUGGAUCCGCGCCGCAUUAGCUAGUUGGUAAGGUAACGGCUUACCAAGGCAACGAUGCGUAGCCGACCUGAGAGGGUGAUCAGCCACACUGGAACUGAGACACGGUCCAGACUCCUACGGGAGGCAGCAGUAGGGAAUAUUGCGCAAUGGGCGAAAGCCUGACGGAGCAACGCCGCGUGAAUGAUGAAGGUCUUCGGAUCGUAAAACUCUGUUAUUAGGGAAGAACAAAUGUGUAAGUAACUAUGCACGUCUUGACGGUACCUAAUCAGAAAGCCACGGCUAACUACGUG
rnacentral:rRNA from 1 species